rnacentral:rRNA from 1 species
GAUCAUGGCUCAGAACGAACGCUGGCGGCAGGCCUAACACAUGCAAGUCGAGCCGCCCCGCAAGGGGAGCGGCGGACGGGUGAGUAACGCGUGGGAACGUACCCUUUGCUACGGAAUAGCCUCGGGAAACUGGGAGUAAUACCGUAUGUGCCCUUCGGGGGAAAGAUUUAUCGGCAAAGGAUCGGCCCGCGUUGGAUUAGGUAGUUGGUGGGGUAAUGGCCUACCAAGCCGACGAUCCAUAGCUGGUUUGAGAGGAUGAUCAGCCACACUGGGACUGAGACACGGCCCAGACUCCUACGGGAGGCAGCAGUGGGGAAUCUUAGACAAUGGGCGCAAGCCUGAUCUAGCCAUGCCGCGUGAGCGAUGAAGGCCUUAGGGUUGUAAAGCUCUUUCAGUGGGGAAGAUAAUGACUGUACCCACAGAAGAAGCCCCGGCUAACUCCGUG